rnacentral:pre_miRNA from 1 species
AUUCUACUCCCCGGUUGCACAAUACAUGCCUUCUAUUUGUCAAAAUAUAUAUGUAUCUAGACAUGUUUUAGUAUAUAGGUACAUCCAUUUUUGGACAAAUGGAAGUCAAGUAUUUUGGAACGGAGGGAGUACACA